GACAGAGGAUGCAAGCGUUAUCCGGAAUGAUUGGGCGUAAAGAGCUCGUAGGCGGUGUGUCGCGUCGGCCGUGAAAACCUGGGGCUCAACUCUGGGCGUGCGGUCGAUACGGGCAUCACUUGAGUUCGGCAGGGGAGACUGGAAUUCCUGGUGUAGCGGUGAAGUGCGCAGAUAUCAGGAGGAACACCGGUGGCGAAGGCGGGUCUCUGGGCCGAUGACUGACGUGAGGAGCGAAAGCAUGGGUAGCGAACAGG
rnacentral:rRNA from 1 species